UACGUAGGAGGCAAGCGUUGUCCGGAAUUACUGGGCGUAAAGAGUGUGUAGGCGGUGCUCUAAGUUCGGUGUGAAAUCUCCUGGCUCAACUGGGAGGGUGCGCCGGAAACUGGAGUGCUUGAGCGUGGGAGAGGAAAGCGGAAUUCCUGGUGUAGCGGUGAAAUGCGUAGAUAUCAGGAGGAACACCUGUGGUGUAGACGGCUUUCUGGACCAUAGCUGACGCUGAGACACGAAAGCGUGGGUAGCAAACAGG
rnacentral:rRNA from 1 species